AAGUUCGGAAGAGAGUGUCUCGAAAAGGAGAAUCAUGACUAGCUUUGGAUGGAAUUUCUGUUUUGACAGAAGAUGAAGACAUUUUACGACCCGGUACUGCGUUGCAUGCAGUGGACUGUGCCCGAGACGAUUCCCACAGCGCCGGCACAUUGUCAGCUUGUAAAAAUGAAAUUGUGCCAGCAAAGUUUGAAGUGUCUAUGGAAAUGAUCAAUAUUGAACUUUCUGAACCUUCCUACUUAAAGUGAAUCCGUUCGUGACUGACAUGACCAUUUAUUUGGCUACCCUCUAACAAUUCACAACGCCAUAUUUUAUUUGUUUAUUAUUGUGAAUUUCAUGGGAUAUCAGUGAGGAAGUGAUUCAAGCAGAUACUUGAGAAAUUUCGGAUCUAACUUAAUUAG